AUGCGCACCACCUCUGUCGGGUACCGUGACUAUGGAUGCUACUGUUGUGCCGUUCUAUCCGGUGACGACUGUCGCUCCGGCGAACAGCCGCCGGGCAACUCACCCUUCUACAAAGUGGUAAUCAUCACAGCCGGCCAUGAGGUACACUGGACUAUGUUUGAUAUCCACACCUUCUCGACUGUGAAACCGAGCUGGAGUACAACGCGCUCCCAUGAAAUUAUGUGGGGCAAUACCCUCGGAUCAUUCUGUCAAACCGACGCCGUCGUCUGCCACGGCGUUGCGUACUGGCUAUUUCGUGAUGACAGAGAAGGGUGUUUCCAUCUCGUUAAACUGAUGAUUGGCCAGGACGACUAUCUCACAUUGACGUGGCUCCCGGUCGAGAUGUUGCCUGACCGAGAUCACCGCCCGUGCCUUCGCUUGAACAGCGAUGACACGCUCUCGGUGCUACAGAUGCAAGAGACAGGUUUCCAGCUACAAAUAUGUAGACAAGAGAGACAAGAGAGUUUCUAUGGUAGCUCACAAUGGCUCCACCCUCAGACGAUCGAGCUGAUACACCCAUACUGGAAGAAGACGGCCCAAGGAAAAGACACACUUUCCAUACUGGGAGAGAAGUGUGGCAAAUUGCUUGUCAUGGAUGGGCGCGGGCGCGUGUACGCCGCCGACCUCGAGACCGGAGCAAUGAAGAAGGUGGCGGACGGGCCUCACGCACGCCCUAACAGCCCUCUCGAUGCCGUGCUCUUAGAGAUGGACUGGCCGGCGUUCUUCGUUUCACGUCUUGGUAUAGACAGUGGAGAGGAAGCUGCAAGAAGAAGAAGGCCCAAGGGAAAAGGCGGUAGGAAGACUCGCAGCCAUGCCUAG
rnacentral:rRNA from 1 species